CACCAAGUCAACCGUAAUUUUUUUUAAGUUAACUGAGGGAAACAAAGGAAAAUGAACAGUAGCACAUGACAAAAUGAACAGCCAGGGUGCUCCAAGUGAACGGCAUGCCCACACCCUCGGGACUGUACGCACAGCAUGCCCAAAACCUUGCAUUAGUAAUCACCGGACUGCACUAGGAAGUCUUCUGGGCUGAAUACACCAAAACUGACAGCAAAACUGACAGUAAUCUAAAAAUACACCAAAACUGACAGCAAAAUCCACUAGGAAAUUUCCUACAAUAAAGGAAGAGGGAAUCAGAGGCACUGCUUCAAUCUCCCAGGACUACGAGAACAAAAUAAACCGAAAACACAUGAAUUGCAUUAGUGCCUAACGAACUGCAAUGAUUUUCUUUACAAUUCUCGGCCACUGUAGAAUUUGGGCGCGUGGGGGGACGACCUGCGUGGGUUGCCCCGGCGGACUGCACGCUAAGUGGGGGGAGCCCUGGGCUGCUCCACAACAAGGCUUCCAGUGACCUGCACUCCAUACCGAUCUAGGAGACGAGGGCCACAGGGGGAUGCCCGAUCUAGCACACCAACGAGCUGGACGAUGUGGCCGUCGGAGCCCAUCCACCGUUGAGGAGAGGUUGCUCUCUGGGGCUGCGGUGUGCAGCGGUGACGGUGCACCAAGCCGGCCAGAUCGAGCAGCAGUGGCCAGGGUCGGGGCGGCCGGUCGAUGGAAGAUGCAGCGGCGGCGCGGUGCAGGAGGUGCAGCGGCAGCGCGGGGCACCUCUCCGCCACACAACGGCCGUGGGAGGCGUUGCAGGGGUCUUGCCGGAUCCGUCCAGCGCGAGGGGAGGGCGGCGCUCGCCUGUGGGGUGGGGAAUCGGCCGAAUCCCAUGCGCCGGCAAGCCUGAUAUGGUCGUACGGGGCCGGGAAGGCCGGAUCCGGCGCGGGCAAGGCCCUGCUUGCCGAUUUGGUGCCCGCGGCGGACGGAUCGGGGACUGCUGGUGGCCACAGCUGCGGGGGAGGGUGUGGCGGCGGUGGCGCUGUAGGUGGUUGGUCGUGGUAGCGCGUCGCCGGCGGAGGAAGGUAGGGCGCGAGGGAGGGGGAGGUG
rnacentral:rRNA from 1 species